rnacentral:lncRNA from 1 species
AAAAAUUGUACUUUCAAACUGUAUUUUUUUAAACGAGAAAUUUUUUGAUCUAUGAUUUUUCUUAGUUUCCAGCUACAGUGAUGCUGGCAAAAUCCUGGAUAGACAUUUAUAUGAAUGUCCUUUCCACUUCCACAUUAUAUUUUUUUUUUUUUUUGAGAUGGAGUUUCGCUCUUUUGCCCAGGCUGGAGUGCAGUGUCACCAUCUUGGCUCACUGCAACCUCCACCUUCCAGUUUCAAGUGAUUCUCCUGCCUCAGCCUCCUGAGUAGCUGGGAUUACAGGCACCCGCCACCAUGCCCGGCUAAUUUUUGUAUUUUUAGUGAGAUGGGGUUUCACCAUGUUGGCCAAGCUGGUCUUCGACUCCUGACCUCAGGUGAUCCACCCACCUCAGCCUCCCAAAGUGCUGGGAUUACAGGCGUGAGCCACCACAUCUGGCCCACAUUAUAAUUUUUAUGUGUAAUCUUUUAAAUUUUUUAAUUAGCAGGACAUAUCUUUAACAAGGA